AGCGAACGCUGGCGGCAGGCUUAACACAUGCGAGUCGGGCGGGCACUUCGGUGUCAGCGGCAGACGGGUGAGUAACACGUGGGAACGUACCCUUUGGUUCGGAAUAACGCUGGGAAACUAGCGCUAAUACCGGAUACGCCCUUUUGGGGAAAGGCUUGCUGCCGAAGGAUCGGCCCGCGUCUGAUUAGCUAGUUGGUGGGGUAAUGGCCUACCAAGGCGACGAUCAGUAGCUGGUCUGAGAGGAUGAUCAGCCACACUGGGACUGAGACACGGCCCAGACUCCUACGGGAGGCAGCAGUGGGGAAUAUUGGACAAUGGGCGCAAGCCUGAUCCAGCCAUGCCGCGUGAGUGAUGAAGGCCUUAGGGUUGUAAAGCUCUUUUGUCCGGGACGAUAAUGACGGUACCGGAAGAAUAAGCCCCGGCUAACUUCGUG
rnacentral:rRNA from 1 species